rnacentral:tRNA from 1 species
GUGGGCGUAGCUCAGUUGGUUAGAGCACCAGGUUGUGGUCCUGGGGGCCGGGGGUUCGAGUCCCCUCGCCCACCCCA